rnacentral:rRNA from 1 species
UUGAAAGGGAAACGAUUGAAGUCAGUCGUACCGACGAGAAUCAGCUCUUCGAGUGCGAACUUGUGGGCGUGCGUGAGUCUUACGGGCCUCGCUGUUUGCAAUGUUUGUGCUUUUUGGGUGUACUUUUUCGUAUGGUAGGCAACGUCAGUUUCGAUUACCGUAAAUGAUCAGAGGAAUGUAGCUUCGAUCUCGUAUUGAAGUGUAUAGCCUCUGGUAGAUGCGGUAAUUGAAACUGAGGAUUGCAACGAAUACCCUCUGGGCUAUCCGUCUGACCUCUGAAAGUUACUUAGGUGCUGAAAGCGUGCUUACGGUAUUUAAGUUGACGGUCAACAGGUUAGAACGUGAUUACAUUCGUUAAGGAUGUUGACGUA